AGUUUGAUCCUGGCUCAGAUUGAACGCUGGCGGCAUGCCUUACACAUGCAAGUCGAACGGCAGCACGGGAGCAAUCCUGGUGGCGAGUGGCGAACGGGUGAGUAAUAUAUCGGAACGUGCCCAGUCGUGGGGGAUAACGCAGCGAAAGCUGUGCUAAUACCGCAUACGAUCUACGGAUGAAAGCGGGGGAUCGCAAGACCUCGCGCGAUUGGAGCGGCCGAUAUCAGAUUAGCUAGUUGGUGAGGUAAAGGCCCACCAAGGCGACGAUCUUUAGCUGGUCUGAGAGGAUGGCCAGCCACAUCGGGACUGAGACACGGCCCGGACUCCUACGGGAGGCAGCAGUCGGGAAUAUUGGACAAUGGGCGCAAGCCUGAUCCAGCAAUACCGCGUGUGUGAAGAAGGCCUGCGGGUUGUAAAGCACUUUCAGUGGGGAAGAUAAUGACGUUACCCACAGAAGAAGCACCGGCUAACUCCGUGCCAGCAGCCGCGGUAAUACGGAGGGUGCAAGCGUUAAUCGGAAUUACUGGGCGUAAAGCGUGCGUAGGCGGUUAUUUAAGUCAGAUGUGAAAUCCCCGGGCUCAACCUGGGAACUGCAUCUGAUACUGGGUAACUAGAGUGUGGGAGAGGAGAGUGGAAUUUCCGGUGUAGCGGUGAAAUGCAUAGAGAUCGGAAGGAACAUCAGUGGCGAAGGCGACUCUCUGGACCAACACUGACGCUGAGGUACGAAAGCGUGGGUAGCACACAGGAUUAGAUACCCUGGUAGUCC
rnacentral:rRNA from 1 species